UACGGCAAGAUCACGUUGAAACACCGAUUCCCGUACGAUCGCUUAAGUUAAGCAACGCCGAGCCUUUUCAGUACCUAGAUAGGUGACCGCUUGAGAAUACCAGGAUGUUGUG